AUACUGCCAUAAAUGAAUAUAUU
rnacentral:siRNA from 1 species